GGCACUGUAGCUCAGUUGGUAGAGCACAUGCUUAACAUCCUGUGGGAUGAUCGCAUGUUGUCGUCGGUUCGAGCCCGGCCAGAGUCA
rnacentral:tRNA from 1 species